rnacentral:tRNA from 1 species
AGUCUUAUAUUCAAUAAUGAUAUAAAAUUGCAAAUUUUAAGGGGUAAAUUUACUAAGACUU